rnacentral:rRNA from 1 species
AACGAACGCUGGCGGCAGGCCUAACACAUGCAAGUCGAGCGGACCUUUCGGGGUCAGCGGCGGACGGGUGAGUAACGCGUGGGAAUAUGCCCUUCUCUACGGAAUAGUCCUGGGAAACUGGGGGUAAUACCGUAUACGCCCUUUGGGGGAAAGAUUUAUCGGGGAAGGAUUAGCCCGCGUUGGAUUAGGUAGUUGGUGGGGUAAUGGCCUACCAAGCCGACGAUGCAUAGCUGGUUUGAGAGGAUGAUCAGCCACACUGGGACUGAGACACGGCCCAGACUCCUACGGGAGGCAGCAGUGGGGAAUCUUAGACAAUGGGGGCAACCCUGAUCUAGCCAUGCCGCGUGAGUGAUGAAGGCCUUAGGGUUGUAAAGCUCUUUCAGCUGGGAAGAUAAUGACGGUACCAGCAGAAGAAGCCCCGGCUAACUCCGUG